rnacentral:rRNA from 1 species
GACGAACGCUGGCGGCGUGCUUAACACAUGCAAGUCGAACGAAGUGGCGAACGGGUGAGUAACGCGUAAUCAACCUGCACUUCAGCGGGGGACAACAGUUGGAAACGACUGCUAAUACCGCAUACUGAAGGGGGGGAUUGAGGGUGAUUAGCUAGGUGGAGGGGUAACGGCCCCACAAGGCGAUGAUCAGUAGGCGGUCUGGGAGGGUGAACGGCCACAUUGGGACUGGAAAACGGCCCAGACCUCUACGGGAGGCAGCAGUUGGGAAAUGUCCGCAAAGGACGAAAGUCUGACGGAGCAACGCCGCGUGAGUGAUGACGGCCUUCGGGUUGUAAAGCUCUGUUAAUCGGGACGCGGUACCGGAAUAGAAAGCCACGGCUAACUACGUGCCAGCAGCCGCGGUAAUUC